GUUCCCGCUGCCAAGAAAAGCCUCUAGCCAGGUGAUGGUGCCCGUACCGCAAACCGACACAGGUAGUCGAGCAGAGUAUGCUAAGGCGCUCGGAAGAACUCUCGUUAAGGAACUCGGCAAAAUGACCCCGUAACUUCGGGAGAAGGGGUGCCUCGGUAGGGUGAAUAGCCCGAGGGGGCCGCAGUGAAAAGGCCCAAGCGACUGUUUAGCAAAAACACAGGUCUGUGCGAAGCCGUAAGGCGAAGUAUACGGGCUGACGCCUGCCCGGUGCUGGAAGGUUAAGAGGAGUGGUUAGCCGCAAGGCGAAGCUAUGAAUUGAAGCCCCAGUAAACGGCGGCCGUAACUAUAACGGUCCUAAGGUAGCGAAAUUCCUUGUCAGGUAAAUUCUGACCCGCACGAAUGGCGUAACGACUUGGGCGCUGUCUCAACGAGAGAUCCGGUGAAAUUUUAAUACCUGUGAAGAUGCAGGUUACCCGCGACAAGACGGAAAGACCCCAUGGAGCUUUACUGCAGCUUGAUAUUGAACUUUGGUACGAUCUGUACAGGAUAGGUGGGAGCCU
rnacentral:rRNA from 1 species